rnacentral:tRNA from 1 species
GCCGCCGUAGCUCAGCCCGGUCAGAGCGGCGGGCUGUUAACCCGUAGGUCCCGGGUUCAAAUCCCGGCGGCGGCGCCU